UUCAUUAUAUAUAUAUAUCGACUUUCAUUAUAUAUAUAUAUCAACUUUCAUUAUAUAUAUAUCAAAUCUUUUUUUCCUACCGAGCCCCGGAAGGGACAUGUCCGUAUGGCGAAGCGACAACGAAGGACACUCACCCGGACGAGAAUUUUAUUGAGUUUUAUUUUAAAAUCGGCCUGAAACACACAGACAUUCAAGCAGUGCGAUGCGCUAAGAGUCUGCCAUGCAGACCAGCGAUCCUGAUAAUGUUGUCGGCCUUGGAUGAUGAGGUCCAGUUACCAGGAGCACUAGUCUGCAGCUUACUGGUUCCGUCCUGCAGCUCCUCCACGCUGUCCUCCUCUCUACAGACCAAAUCAAGAAAAGGGAACCAGGAAGCUGCUGUGGAUCCUCUGCAGUAUCUGGAGAGGUCAGAGGAACGGUUCUUGGAACAGAUCGGAAGACACCAAGACGUGACCUCUGCCAUGCUCCAGAACAUCCAGAAGAUGAAUGAAAACCUUGGUUGCACUGAUGGGACGCAUGGUGUCGGUGCUGGAGCAACUGUCCCAGAAUUAAACUGCAUUGUUGACUAUUGGCUUUUCUAGAAAAUAAAUCUUUUUUAGUA